UACGGAGGGGGCAAGCGUUGUUCGGAAUUACUGGGCGUAAAGGGCGCGUAGGUGGCCUUCUAAGUUGAACGUGAAAUCCCUGGGCUCAACCCAGGAACUGCGUCCAAGACUGGGAGGCUUGAAUCCGGGAGAGGGAUGCGGAAUUCCAGGUGUAGCGGUGAAAUGCGUAGAUAUCUGGAGGAACACCGGUGGCGAAGGCGACAUCCUGGACCGGUAUUGACACUGAGGCGCGAAAGCCAGGGGAGCAAACGGG
rnacentral:rRNA from 1 species